GGAGAAUUCAUCAUCAGUUCAGCAUCAAACGCUUUCAUUGGAGUGGCAAAAUUUGUAUUAUUCUUAAAUUUCAAUCAGGAGGCCGAAAAAUUUAUUCCAGUAGCCACAGAUGGUCCCCGCGCCACAGUUUGGACACUGAUGAGAACAUAGCGUGUUCAUCCAUUCAAUUCAAAUGUUUAACUAACCUAUCAGAAGCUCACAAAGCCAUGACAUCAUCACCAUCUGAUGCUGAAUUAUAAACGGCCGGACGGACAGUCGCACACGUCUGGGCCGACGCACCUGCCGCCAUUCAUGCACACGGGGUCACACACACCUGGCAGACAGGAAACGGAUUGUCCAGGAGCCCUGAAUACUGGAUUAGAAAACGUCUGCAGCCUUUUGAGGUAAGGAUCUACAUUCUCAUAAAGAGACUGUUGUUUUUGUUUUGCUAGCUGUGCUAACUGCUAAAGUUAACUCCAAAUCAUUUUGUUGGUUCUAAAAUGGUGAAAAUGUGUUUUCACCCAGUUUUGUUUUUGUAUGAAUGUACAUCAAAGUUUUAUAAGAAAAACUAAAUGGGAAAACUGAUUUUCCCAUUUAAACAAUUCAGACGAGACAUUUAUUACAAAUGAAAUAAAACAAAAGCUGAACAUUUUGAGGUAGAGAAGUUGAUACAUUCUGAAGAGUAAAAAAGAUCUUUAACUUGAUAAUAACUCAGAGAAACAAUCUGGAUGACAUUAAAUCUUAAUAGUUACCAAACCACUAAUAAAAAUCUUUGUAGAAACU